rnacentral:rRNA from 1 species
CAAUAGCAUAUAUUAACGUUGUUGCAGUUGAAAAGCUCGUAGUUGAACUUUUGGUAGGAGCGACCUGGCCUUGGGCGCAUGCCCUUGUUUGCCGUGUGUCGUGUCUGGCCAUCCUUUUCCGUUUCGGCGGGAAUCUUUUACUGUGAGUAAACUGGAGUGCUCAAAACAAGACGUUUGUUUGGUACAUUAAAGCAUGGAAUAAUAAGAUAGGACCUGGUUACUAUUUUGUUGGUUUGCAUAGCUAGGUAAUGAUUAACAGGGACAGUUGGGGGUAUUCGUAUUUAAUUGUCAGAGGUGAAAUUCUUGGAUUUAUGAAAGACGAACGACUGCGAAAGCAUUUACCAAGGAUGUUUNCAUUA